rnacentral:sRNA from 1 species
UUACCUUAAAGCUUUCUUUAUAUCUUCAUUUGCAGGGUCCAACUUCAAGCCAUCUGCAAAAGCUUCACAAGCUUUUCCAUAUCUUUUUUACCUUUAUAAACAUGAAAGCUGCCCCUUGUCGAUAGCAUGCUUUGGGCCAACUGGGCCGCAACAUUCUGCACAUGUUAGCAUCAGCAAUAGCCCCAAUGCCGGUUGACAAACGCAACCAGCAUAGGCUCCUGUUUGCUAGCAGGGUUGCCUUAUCAUGAGCACUUGUGCUAAGUUCUAUUGCCUACAUGUAGUGUUGUACUGCAAGCGCAUAAUCAUUUCUCUCGAAAGCCUCUCUAGCUUGUAAUUUCAGUUCAGCACUUUUCCUUUUAGACAGAUCAUUAUCCCUUGGCUUCAAACCAAAAUUUUCCACGUGAGAAAUAAUUCCAUCGAUACUCCAAUCUGACAGUGUUGAAAUUGGUGAGGUUAAAGGAAACAACAUUUCAACAAUGUCCCUUCUGCCAUGAUUAGCGGCAACUUCAAUUGGAAAUAUUACUCACUUCAUCUGGAAUGUUUGGAUUAGCACCAGCAUCUAGUAAGCACUUCAUGAUGACAGAAGAGCCAUGAUUUGCUGCAACCAUUACACAAGUAACGCCAUUGGAGUCUCUAAAAUUCAUGUCAGCACCAACCUGUAUAAAUGAAUUGUUAUUUGAACAUCAGUGAUUGUGUCUCAAAACUAUGGACAUAAUCAACGGGGUACCAUCAAGAUUGAAAACCCUGUUAGGCUCAUGAUGCUCCAAUAAGAUCUUCAUCGUGCUAUGUUGGCCACUAAUCGCAGCUGCCAGCAAUGGGGUCCCAGCGAUAGAAUAUAAAUCCACAUCAACUCCUUUUGAAAGAAACAACUCUACUAUUUCGCAAGACCUUUCACUGCAGCACCAUGAAGAGGUAACACUAUUUUAUCAAUCGCAGGAUUGGAACCAUGAUCGAGAAGAUAUCUUGUAGCAGCAGCUCUCCCAUGAAUUGAAGACAGGAACAGUGAGCGCAAGACCUUUGCCAUUGAACUGGUUGACGCCGAGGCAGAGGUCCUCCACGAGGUACCUGAGGACGUCCACGCUCCCUCCAGAGGCCGCCAUGUGCAGAGCGCGGUGCCCGAAGCCGCUGCCCUCCACCGCCGCCACGACAGCCGCCUCGCCCUGCCCGGUGUCCAGCCCUCGCGCCAUCUCUAUAUCAACGGGUUGCCAUCGUAGGCGGCCUGGAGGAGCACCUUCUCCUUCUCUUGCUUCCCCAUCAUCCCCUUCUCC